rnacentral:rRNA from 1 species
UACGUAAGUGGCGAGCGUUAUCCGGAAUUACUGGGCGUAAAGCGUGUGUAGGCGGUUUAGUGUGUGGGAAUUGAAAGCCCGGGGCUCAACUCCGGAUCCGGUUCCCAAACUGCUAGACUCGAGAGUAUCAGAGGAGAGCGGAAUUCCCGGUGUAGCGGUAAUAUGCGUAGAUAUCGGGAGGAACACCAGUGGCGAAGGCGGCUCUCUGGGGGUAUUUCUGACGCUGAGACACGAAAGCCAGGGGAGCGAACGGG